UGGGGAAUAUUGGACAAUGGGCGCAAGCCUGAUCCAGCCAUGCCGCGUGAGUGAUGAAGGCCCUAGGGUUGUAAAGCUCUUUCACCGGUGAAGAUAAUGACGGUAACCGGAGAAGAAGCCCCGGCUAACUUCGUGCCAGCAGCCGCGGUAAUACGAAGGGGGCUAGCGUUGUUCGGAUUUACUGGGCGUAAAGCGCACGCAGGCGGACUAUUAAGUCAGGGGUGAAAUCCCGGGGCUCAACCCCGGAACUGCCUUUGAUACUGGUAGUCUUGAGUUCGAGAGAGUUGAGUGGUAUUCCGUGUGUAGAGGUGAAAUUCGUAGAUAUUCGGAGGAACACCAGUGGCGAAGGCGGCUCACUGGCUCGUUACUGACGCUGCGGUGCGAAAGCGUGGGGAGCAAACAGG
rnacentral:rRNA from 1 species